GAUGAACGCUGGCGGCGCGCCUAACACAUGCAAGUCGAACGAUUAAAGCACCUUCGGGUGUGUAUAAAGUGGCGAACGGCUGAGUAACACGUGGGCAACCUGCCCCUCUCAUUGGGAUAGCCACGGGAAACCGUGGAUAAUACCGAAUACUUCGAGUCUCCCGCAUGGAAGACUCGAGAAAGCUCCGGCGGAGAGGGAUGGGCCCGCGGCCUGUUAGCUUGUUGGUGGGGUAACGGCCUACCAAGGCAAUGAUGGGUAGCUGGGUUGAGAGACCGACCAGCCAGAUUGGGACUGAGACACGGCCCAGACUCCUACGGGAGGCAGCAGUGGGGAAUCUUGCACAAUGGGCGAAAGCCUGAUGCAGCGACGCCGCGUGCGGGAUGAAGGCCUUCGGGUUGUAAACCGCUUUCAGCAGGGACGAGGCGAAAGUGACGGUACCUGCAGAAGAAGCCCCGGCUAACUACGUGCCAGCAGCCGCGGUAAUACGUAGGGGGCGAGCGUUAUCCGGAUUCAUUGGGCGUAAAGCGCUCGUAGGCGGUCUGUUAGGUCGGGAGUUAAAUCCGGGGGGCUCAACCCCCGUUCGCUCCCAAUACCGGCAGACUUGAGUUUGGUAGGGGGAAGGUGGAAUCGCUAGGUGGAAGCGGGGGGAUGCGCAGAUUGAGGAGGAACACAGUGGGGGAGGCGGACUUCUGGCCAUGAGUGACGCUGAAGGGCGAAAGCUGGCGAGCAACAGGAUUAAAUACCGCUGUAUAUCAAGGCAAAUUCCGGGGGGGGGUGAGGUUUCUUUAUCCGCGAGCGCGGGAGGGCCCGGACGCACCUUUGGGCGGGUGAAAAAAAAGACAUGGGGCCUUUUGCAUUUAAAAC
rnacentral:rRNA from 1 species